CGAGUAAUAAGAGAGAGAGGAGCUGGAUGAUGAGGGAGGGGUUGGAUGACGAGUAAUGAGAGAGAGAGGGAGGAGUUAGAAGAUGGAGGGAGCGGUUGGAUGAUGCCUAAAGGCACAGUGUGCAUUGAUAGGAGGGAGAGGAGGAGUGGCCACGCUCAAGUACCGCCCAGUAAAGCCGCAGGUAGGCGGGAAGAAUGUCGGUUGGAGGGGGAAAACAGGGACGCCGGGAGGCAGGAGCGUGCGCACCAGGAGAGGCAGCGGGGAGGAGUCGACAAAGUCUGAAGGAGAGGAGACGCCAGCCGCUAAAGUUGGGAAAAAACACACCAUUACCAGGGAAUGCAGCCGGGAGCAGUGGCGGAGGAGGAGCCGGGGUGGAAGGGAACGACCGGAGGCAGGAGACAUAUAGGUGAAGGACCAUAGCGGAUCAGUAGCGGGAGCCAACACCACAUGUGAGGUUGUUUGACAAGCAGGUAGAGAGGAAGUGACGGUUUAUAUAGGUCUGGGAAUGGGAGGUGUAAGGGCGUGGAUCAAUCUCCGAAAAUUACGUUAUUUAACUUCACUUAAACUUCUGCAUUGAGUCUUAAAUCUUACAAAUAUAGAAGUAUAUUACAAAUAUAGUGUAUUUUUUACAGAUGCCCCCUCAGAUGUGAGAAUACAGGCUGAAGGAAACAGUGUGGUUGAGGGUGGUUCUCUCUCACUCAAAUGUUCUGCUACCAGUAGACCUCCACCUUCUCACUACGAGUGGUCUGUUUCUCAGAUGGACACCACUGUGAAGUACAGUGGAAAAGAACAUCGCUACACCCUUAAAAAUAUCCAGCGGGAGACCUCCGUUUCCUGCACUGUGUUUAACUCUGUUGGACAGGGUCAGUCUGAGCAGCUCAAGCUGAACGUCCACUAUGCCCCCUCAGAUGUGAGAAUACAGGCUGAAGGAAACAAUGUGGUUGAGGGUGGUUCUCUCUCACUCAAAUGUUCUGCUACCAGUAGACCUCCACCUUCUCGCUACGAGUGGUCUGUUUCUCAGAUGAACACCACUGUGAAUUACAGUGGAACAGAACAUCGCUACACCCUUAAAAAUAUCCAGCGGGAGACCUCNNNNNNNNNNNNNNNNNNNNNNNNNNNNNNNNNNNNNNNNNNNNNNNNNNNNNNNNNNNNNNNNNNNNNNNNNNNNNNNNNNNNNNNNNNNNNNNNNNNNACUGUGUUUAACUCUGUUGGAGAGGGUCAGUCUGAGCAGCUCAAGCUGAACGUCCACUAUGCCCCCUCAGAUGUGAGAAUACAGGCUGAAGGAAACAGUGUGGUUGAGGGUGGUUCUCUCUCACUCAAAUGUUCUGCUGCCAGUAGACCUCCACCUUCUCGCUACGAGUGGUCUGUUUCUCAGAUGAACACCACUGUGAAGAAGAGUGGAGCAGAACAUCGCUACACCUUUAAAAAUAUCCUGCGGGAGACCUCCGUUUCCUGCACUGUGUUUAACUCUGUUGGACGGGGUCAAUCAGAGCAGCUCAAGCUGAACGUCCACUGUAAGUUAUUAUUGCUUUUAUUCUGUUUAUAGUUUUUGACCUGAUAUAAGAAAUUCACAAAUUCAAACCAACCAUGAAUUUGCCUCAGCAGUGAUAUUUUUACCAUAAAUUUACCUCAGCAGUGAUAUUUUUACCAUAAAUGUUCCUCAGCAGUGAUAUUUUUACCAUAAAUGUACAAAUGUGUGAGCUAGACUUAAGAGACUCAACUUUAUUCUGAGGUAGAGAGACAGAUACAUGACUACAGAGGCUGUAGAGACUCAAAACUACAAAACACCGAUCAAAGAGGUGAUGAGUUUUAGAAAAAAACCCUCUUGUUAUCAGCAGGAGAUGCCUAGUGUAAGCAGCAGCACAACGCAACCAAAACUGGCAUCCAGCAGAGCGGAAAGAGUAGAGAACAGUUACACCAUGAGUGUUGGGAAAGUAAAAAGUAAGUUUCAGAAAGUUGUCUAGUUGUUACUCUCUUGUAACUCUCUUGUACCUGUAGAACCUAGUAAUUAUUUUGAAUCUACUGGUUCAUCCAGAUAAGUUACACUGUGAGUAAAGUGAACUUACCUUCUAAAACACGUGCUGUAUUAAAAAGCGAAACCCAAUAUUUUUAUUUGGAAUUUAGAAGAAAUAAUAAAACUGAAACACCUGUCA
ensembl:lncRNA